rnacentral:rRNA from 1 species
UACGGGGGGGGCUAGCGUUGUUCGGAAUUACUGGGCGUAAAGGGCUCGUAGGUGGCCAACUAAGUCGGACGUGAAAUCCCUCGGCUUAACCGGGGAACUGCGUCCGAUACUGGAUGGCUCGAAUCCGGGAGAGGGAUGCGGACUUCCAGGUGUAGCGGUGAAAUGCGUAGAUGUCUGGAGGAAUACCGGUGGCGAAGGCGGCAUCCUGGACCGGCAUUGACGCUGAGGAGCGAAAGCCAGGGGAG